rnacentral:rRNA from 1 species
UACGGAGGGUGCAAGCGUUAUCCGGAUUCACUGGGUUUAAAGGGAGCGUAGGUGGCUUUGUAAGUCAGUGGUGAAAUCUUAGAGCUUAACUCUAAAACUGCCAUUGAUACUGCUUAGCUUGAAUCACGUCGAGGUGGAUGGAAUAUUACAUGUAGCGGUGAAAUGCUUAGAUAUGUAAUAGAACACCGAUUGCGAAGGCAGUUCACUAGGCGUGUAUUGACACUGAGGCUCGAAAGCGUGGGGGAUCAAACAGG